AGCAGCAGUAGUUGUCCUCCCGUAGUCUUAGUCAAUUUCUUAAAAUCCAAGGCUAAGGGUUUUACCUUCAAAAGCAUGCACACAAAUUCAUGAAAACCUGGGGACAAGCCAACAUUUGAAACUAAACCAGACAUGCCAAGCUGGAACACAGUUCGACUUAUUACAUUACCUAGCCACUGGCCAAAAUGCAGAGUUACAAAAAGCAUGUCAACACCUAAAAAUUAACCAUGGUCUAGAUUACGCCGAAGCUAAAACAUGUCACCUCCAGGCAUAUGCCUCAAUAGCAAAUAAGAUAACUGAAAAGACAUCAUGAGCCCAUCAGCUCCUACCCAGUGCAUUCCCCAAACUGCAUUCUACUUGCCAGCCUUAGUUCCAUUGCUUUAUUACAAUUAUUUUGCUGGUGCCCCUCAAACUGCAUUCUACUUGCAAGUGCAAAACCUAGUCCUCUUGCUUAGACCUUCAUAUGGAGCCUUCUCCGUACUUGUCGUUUGCCGUCCCAUAUCUUUCUUUUUCGCUGGAGCCAGCAGUCCUUCCAACCUGUUGCUUGUCCUCGAAACCGAAUCAUUGUCAGAUAAAACAACAGUAGCUGCUUUGACGUUCAUGUUUUGUUCCGCCGAAACCAGCUCCAUGGGGGUCUGAUUCACCACAGCCCCUGUCUGCCAGUCUAUCCUCGAGGCCAAGACCAUCCCUAACUUCUGUAUAGGGUAACAUCACUGUCAAAUUCGACUUGAACAACUCCAUCAAUCGAUUGUAGGCUUCAAAACUAGUGUCGCCCAGCCUGACUAGUUCCAUUGCGUGCAUGUACAUCGUGAAGUUUCUGUACGAAAAAGGGUUGUUCUGCAUGCUGUCCUUCUGGUAUUGUAUCAGAUGAGGUGGCAAAAUGUCGCGAGCAUCCCUCGUCCAUGUCUUCACUAUAUGCUUAGCUGGUAUUUUUUAGCCCUAAUGAAACCAAGCAUCUCUUCAUUAUGUGCACGCUUUUCAUGAGCUUCUCAGAUAAAAAUUGUACUCCACUGUAUAUAAUUUACUAACAACAAAUCAGUGAGAGCAUCACCAGAAGCCUCGCCCAAGGAGUCGAAUGUAAUGCCGAGAACAGGUGUGAUCACAUUUUUAGCUGGUUUCUUUGCAAAACAUCUGACAGCCGUGUCGAUCGCACUGAUUCGAUUUGGGCUGGUGUCUUACUUGGUGCAGCAACACCAAGCCUUAGCCUGCAAACACCAGGCAGUAGGCAUGAUUUAUCCAAAUGCAUUGUACCAACUGCUCUGAAUCCACAAAGCUAUAGCUGACUGAUUUCUUUUCUGCAAUCCAAUUUUCUAUAAUAAAAUCCUUGCAUCUCUCAUAUCAAAUGGUUUCAUUUUAAUACAGUUUGCUAACUACUCUAAACCCAUACAUCUCUAGCUGCCUGAUUUCUUUAGUGUUGUCAAUUUUUAUUUAAUAAAAUAAUUUCCAUCUGUGAUCACAUAAUUAAGCUUUUCAUUAUCUGACUGUCAAUAAUCAGACUGCAGUGUACUUACUCCUCUGAACUCAGCAAACAGCAGCUGCCUGAUUUCUUUACCGCACUCAAUUUUUCUUUACUAAAAUCUUUGCAUCUCGCAUAUCAAUGAGUUACAACUGAAUGCAGUGCACAAACUACUCUGUUUUACUGGAAUCUUUCCUUAUCUGAUGACAUAAGGAAGUUUUUCUUAUCUGAAUUUCAACUACGUGAAUGCAAUGGAGUUAACCCGCUGAACCCGGUAAAUUACAGCUGCCUGAUUUCAUUAGUGCUACCAAUUUUUCUCCACUAAUUUCUUUGCAUCUCUCAUAUUAGGAGGGUUCAGCUAAAUGCAUUGUACUAAAUACUCUGAAUCUAGAAAGAUAUAGCUGCCUGAUUUCUUUACUGAUGUCAAUUUUUCUUUACUAAAAUCUUUGCAUCUCUGAUGACAUACGGAAGCUUUUCCACUGACCUCUUACUCCAUCCGG
rnacentral:lncRNA from 1 species